AAAGAGAUUAAAGAAUUUAUCGGUGAUGGAUGGGGAUGCGUCUGAUUAGCUUGUUGGCGGGGUAACGGCCCACCAAGGCGACGAUCAGUAGGGGUUCUGAGAGGAAGGUCCCCCACAUUGGAACUGAGACACGGUCCAAACUCCUACGGGAGGCAGCAGUGAGGAAUAUUGGUCAAUGGGCGAGAGUCUGAACCAGCCAAGUAGCGUGCAGGAUGACGGCCCUAUGGGUUGUAAACUGCUUUUAUAAGGGAAUAAAGUGAGUCUCGUGAGACUUUUUGCAUGUACCUUAUGAAUAAGGACCGGCUAAUUCCGUGCCAGCAGCCGCGGUAAUACGGAAGGUCCGGGCGUUAUCCGGAUUUAUUGGGUUUAAAGGGAGCGUAGGCCGGAGAUUAAGCGUGUUGUGAAAUGUAGACGCUCAACGUCUGCACUGCAGCGCGAACUGGUUUCCUUGAGUACGCACAAAGUGGGCGGAAUUCGUGGUGUAGCGGUGAAAUGCUUAGAUAUCACGAAGAACUCCGAUUGCGAAGGCAGCUCACUGGAGCGCAACUGACGCUGAAGCUCGAAAGUGCGGGUAUCGAACAGGAUUAGAUACCCUGGUAGUCCGCACGGUAAACGAUGGAUGCCCGCUGUUGGUCUGAACAGGUCAGCGGCCAAGCGAAAGCAUUAAGCAUCCCACCUGGGGAGUAC
rnacentral:rRNA from 1 species